rnacentral:rRNA from 1 species
CUACGGGUGGCAGCAGUGAGGAAUUUUGUGCAAUGGGGGAAACCCUGACGCAGCAACGCCGCGUGAGCGAAGAAGGCCCUCGGGUCGUAAAGCUCUGUCAAGUGGGAAAAAAAUUUUUUGAUCAAUAGUCAAAAGACUUGAUGGUACCACUGGAGGAAGCACCGGCUAACUCCGUGCCAGCAGCCGCGGUAAUACGGAGGGUGCGAGCGUUGUUCGGAUUUACUGGGCGUAAAGAGCGUGUAGGCGGUUUAGCAAGUCAGAUGUGAAAGCCCUGGGCUCAACCCGGGAAGUGCAUUUGAAACUGCUUCACUAGAGUAUGGGAGAGGAGAUUGGAAUUCCUGGUGUAGAGGUGAAAUUCGUAGAUAUCAGGAGGAACACCCGUGGCGAAGGCGAUUCUCUGGACCAAUACUGACGCUGAGACGCGAAAGCGUGGGGAGCAAACAGGAUUAGAUACCCUCGUAGUC